rnacentral:snRNA from 1 species
UUUUUUACCUCACAGGAGAGAGAGCAUUACUGUGAAAAUUGUCCUAGGGUGAGCCUUACCCGCGCACUCCGGAUGUGCUGCCUCUUGCCAUUUCCCCAAAUGUGGGGAACCCAGUUAUAUAAUUUCUGGUAGUUCAUGAGUUUUCAGCUCAAGUU